rnacentral:lncRNA from 1 species
GGCAUCAGUUCAGCCGCUGCGAGGGAUUCUCCAGAGUCUCGGUGUGCGUGGAUUCCCCGCGGUCCCCUUCCCCAGACCGUCCCUUCGCCCUCCCCCCCAGCCUUUCUCGCCGAAGGACUCUUCUUCCCAUCGAUGGCUGGACUUUGGAAGGACCCGGGGGCUCACAAGAGACCCCAGGCCCUUAUCUCCUUGGGAAGAGUGGAGGUGGGGACAUCAGGGGAUCCCCUCAAGUGCCCAAGGCGUUGCCCACUCUUCUUCUUUCCUCUCCUCUUCUCGGGCCUCGACCCUCCAGGCUACCACCAUGGGCUCCCCUGUGCUGCCUGGGGAAGGCGGGGGUACGAAGCAGAGGGGUGAAAGCUUGGGAUGGGGUGGGUAUCAUGGCUGAGGAGACCAGGGCCUUGCACAUCGGCGAACUUUUUCAGAGUUCUCGCCUCGCUGGCUCUUUCUCCACUGCAUCCUCUAUCCCCCUUCCCUAGGCCAGCAGGACACCAGCUCCAGGUCAGACCUCACAUUUUGGUGCUGGAUGCCAGACUGUUCCUUCUUAUCGUUGGCGAUAAUGUCCCAGAGUCGCUAGGGCUUGUAGCUGUGGGGACCACGCAGUAGAUACAGGGGGCUAGGCCAGGUCUGGAAAGGAAGAGAAACAUGUGCGUCCUUUUUGGAGAUGAGAAGAGUCCUCUGCUCCAAAACGCCGGAAAAGAAUCUGGGACAGCAAACCCUGGUGAAAUGGCACCACCUGACAGCUUUCAAGGUAUUGGACAGCAGAUCUGGAGACAAGUCUCCAAGACCCUAAAAGCUCAAUUCUUCCUCCUGCCUGCAGAGCAGGUGAGGCUGAUGUUCGUAGAUAGAAGAAGGCAUUUCAGGGCCUUGGAACAGGCACUGAAAACCUCUAUACUUCCCUCCAAACAGUAAUGUAUGGUGAUUGUUAAUUGUGAUAUGUCAGCUUCACUUGAAUGAGAACAGCCUAGCAGAUUAGUUCUUGUUCUUUUUUUUUUUUUGGUACCGGGGAUUGAACUCGGGUCCUUGGGCUUGCACAGCAGGCGGCGAAACCACUGAGCUAAAUCCCUGGCCAGAUUAGUAAAUAUUGGAAUGUCUGUAGAUGACUAACAUGGAGGCCUGC